rnacentral:rRNA from 1 species
GACGUAGGGGGCAAGCGUUGUUCGGAAUUAUUGGGCGUAAAGCGCUCGUAGGCGGGAUUGGAAGUCCGUGUUGAAAGACCUCGGCUCAACUGAGGGACCGGCUCGGAUACUCUAAUUCUUGAGGCAAUCAGAGGAUGAUGGAAUUCCCGGUGUAGCGGUGAAAUGCGCAGAUAUCGAGGAAGACACCCGUGGCGAAGGCGGCUCUCUGGUACGGUACUGACGCUGAGACGCGAAAGCGUGGGGAGC